rnacentral:rRNA from 1 species
AUUGAACGCUGGCGGCAGGCCUAACACAUGCAAGUCGAACGAGUGGCGGACGGGUGAGUAAUGUAUGGGAAUCUGCCUGAUGGAGGGGGAUAACUACUGGAAACGGUAGCUAAUACCGCAUACCAUCGGAUGUGCCCAGAUGGGCUUGGCUUGUAGGUGGGGUAACGGCUCACCUAGGCGACGAUCCCUAGCUGGUCUGAGAGGAUGACCAGCCACACUGGAACUGAGAAACGGUCCAGACUCCUACGGGAGGCAGCAGUGGGGAAUAUUGAACAAUGGGCGCAAGCCUGAUGCAGCCAUGCCGCGUGUAGGAAGAAGGCCUUCGGGUUGUAAAGUACUUUCAGCGGGGAGGCGUUACUCGCAGAAGAAGCACCGGCUAACUCCGUGCCAGCAGCCGCGGUAAUAC